rnacentral:rRNA from 1 species
GUCUAUGGCCAUACCACCCUGAACGCGUCCAGUCUCAUCUCAUCUCGGAAGCUAAGCAGGGUCAGGCCUGGUUAGUACUUGGAGGGGA